rnacentral:lncRNA from 1 species
GUAGAGAUGGGGUUUUACCAUGUUGCCCAGGCUGGUCUCAAACUCCUGGGCUCAAGUGAUCCUCCCACCUCAGCCUCCCGAGUAGCUGGGACUACAGGCACACAUCACCGUGCCUGGUUCAUUUUUAUUUUUAUUUGGUAGAGAUGGGGUCUCACUGUAUUGCCCAGGCUGGUCUCAAACUCGGAUUACAGGAACCAGCCUGGGCAAUAUAGUCUUACUAUAUUGCCCAGGCUGGUCCCAAACUGGGAUUACAGGAAACAGCCCCUGCGCUGGCCGACAAAUACUUUUUCAAUGCCUACUGCAUGCCAGGCACACAUCUGACAGAGAAGUACAGCAGUGAAUAUAUGACAGGCAAGGCCCGUGCCUUCAAUGUUUUAUGUAUGAGGUUUUCUAUAAUUAAGGUUCCUCUUCCCAACCCAUCCCUAUCUGCUAGUAAAAUCUAUUUACUAAAAUAGAAUCAGGGCCAGAAUAACACCGAGGGCCGGGCGUGGUGGCUCACGCCUGUAAUCCCAACAGUUUGGGAGGCCGAGGAGGGCAGAUCACCUGCGGUCAGGAGUUUGAGGCCAGCCUGGCCAACAUGGAGAAAUCCCAUCUCUACUAAAAAUACAAAAUUAGCUGGCUGUUGUGGCACAUGCCUGUAAUCCCAGCUACUUGGGAGGCUGGGGCAGGAGAAUUGCUUGAAGCCGGGAGGCAGAGGUUGCCAUGAGCCAACAUCACACCACUGCAGUCUAGCCUGGGCAACGGGCGAAACUCCAUCUCAAAAAAAAAAAAAAAAAAGGAAUAACAUCAAAACUUGUAACACUACAAAAUUCAGCAUAAAAAUUUCAUAGAGUAUUACUAUUUUACAAUGUUUUCUGUACUUACUGUGUAAUAAGGAUUUUUUCCAAGUCAUUUUUCUUUAAAAACAUGCUAUUAAAUAUGUGUACAGAAUUCUACCACCACUAUAUAAGAUCCAUUUUCCUUUUUAAAAAAAAUCAAGUUAUCACUAAUCCAGGAUCUUUACAUUUUUAACCUUCUCAUGUCAUUUUAAACAUACCAUUUAUUUUAGAAUGAGAAGAUUUUUAGGCUUAAUACCUAUUAUCAAACCAUAUUUUAAAGGAUUGUAUCAAUUUAUACUGCCAUCAGCAAUC